rnacentral:lncRNA from 1 species
AUGGUGGAUUCGUAGGAGGGUGAAUCCUUCUUUCGCUUGAAAGAUACAACUCCUAUCCUACACCUCGGUGAAUUCAUGAUGCUUGGACCACGAUUUGAUGUGACACCUGGCACCUGGUUGGCUAUUACUAUCAUGUUGGCCAACCAGUUACGCUUGAUGUGUGGAUCAAGUAACACACGACGUAUUCGUGUGAAAAAUGGGAAC